rnacentral:lncRNA from 1 species
GAGAAAAUUUGAGCGGCGAAGUUUCUUGCCAAGAGUUAUCAUAGAAUUUUCAGCUUGUUGUCACUACAAGUUCUCCAUAAAGAAGAAGGAAAAAGAAUCAAAUAGACUAAUUAAGGAAUCAACUGGAUCCUAAUUAUAUGAACCUAAUUUAAUAUUAAAUCUAAAUUUAUCUUUGUAACCAUUCAUGAUAACAACUUAUCAUGAAAAUUUUGUGAGAUGAACAAAGUUUACAGGA